AAGGAUUGAAGAAGUGGGUACAGUUUGCGGUGUUCUGUAAAAGCCGGAAGGUAUGUUUCCUGAAUGUAGGGUACAUUCCAACCAGGAGGGGGAGUAUGUAGCAAGCUGGCCUUCACCUGAGCUUUGACCUACUGAAAGGGGAGGGUAUCUACCUUCACGAGGGAGAAUACCUAUCAUGCAAGUACACGGAGACUCAGGUCCGCGCCCUCACGGAAAAGGCUGGCCUGACGCUCAACCGCAUGUGGACAGACGCCGGCCGCCGUGUUGGCAUAUUCUGCUUUGCUUCAAA